rnacentral:rRNA from 1 species
GUCUAUGGCCAUGCUACCCUGAACAAGUUCCAUCCUGUCUGAUCUCGGAAGCUAAGCAGGGUCAGGGCCUGGUUAGUACUUGGAUGGGAGACCACCUAGGAAGACCAGGUGCUGUAGGCA